rnacentral:other from 1 species
GGAGCCCCAUCGGGACCGUGAGAUCGGCUUCGUUUUUUGACCAACUCCUAACGAAGGGGAGCCCCACUUUGGCGGCGGCCGUAGACUGCCCUUGCAGGCAGAAACGAUAAACCGUCAGGAAGGCUCCCACCUGCUAAAGAAGCAGGUCCAAAAACCCCUGAUCUACGCCUCGAUGGGGUUUCA